rnacentral:lncRNA from 1 species
AAGAACGUAUGCUGAUUUCUCAUAAAAUCAAACAUCUAUGAAGACAAGUUCCUAGUUCCUACAUAUCUUUGUUGAAAGAACUAAUUAUAAAUUAGUUAUAUGAGAGUAGUGAUAUCAAUCAAGCUAUUGUGAUUGGGAAUACAUUUUGUUGCGCUUUAUGAAAACCGGACAUUACGAUCAAAUAUUUCAUGCAUGCAUACAUGACAUCACAAACUGCCUUUCUGUUACCGGCAACUUGCAAGCUAAUUAAUGUAUUUUCUUAUUCUUUUCCCCC